UACGGGGGGAGCAAGCGUUGUUCGGAUUUACUGGGCGUAAAGGGCGCGUAGGCGGCCAGCACAAGUCAGUUGUGAAAUCUCCGAGCUUAACUCGGAACGGUCAACUGAUACUGUGCGGCUAGAGUGCGGAAGGGGCAACUGGAAUUCUCGGUGUAGCGGUGAAAUGCGUAGAGAUCCGGAAGAACACCGGUGGCGAAGGCGGCCUGCUGGGCAGUAGCUGACACUGAGGCGCGACAGCGUGGGGAGCAAACAGG
rnacentral:rRNA from 1 species